AGGCAGAUCAGAGGCACAGCCCAAACAAGCCAAACACAGCAAAUAAGCAUCUCCUCGUAGAGAUGUCUAUGAGGAAAGUUCAGUGUCUCCACACUGUGCAGCACUGAUCCAAGAAUUAUCUCUAGUAGCCAUCUAGGUUCGAAUGGUACACACUGCAUUUUCUCUGAAAAGACAGUGUUUACUGCAAAAAGCCUGAAGGGAAUGAUUCUACUCACCAGAACAAAUUCAAUAAGCUGCAAUUGUUCUGGUGACUGUAGUCUCCCUUUAAAUUUGAAAUCCC